UGAGGAAGGAGUUAAGUCCAGCAGUUUCCACACCGAAGCCCGAACUAUUGGACGAGGCACCCGCUUGAAUAGGAAAGCCACGAGUUAAGCAGUGCUUUCCAUUAGCGAGGUGGACUGACGGACCAGACCUCUGACGCUAAGCAAACUCUCCCAAUUUAUACCCGAAGCCCAGCUAAGCAAACUCUCCCAAUUUAUACCCGAAGCCCAUUAAAUACGUUGUUAGAGGCGUUGGCAGGAGCUGUGAAAAAGCAAGUCUCAAGUAAUACAAGUCUAAAGUCAUAUAUAUAAGUAAGUGAGUAACAAUAAGUAAGUAAGUAACAUAUUAUCAAAUAAUAAGUAAGUCAAAUAUUAUAUAAUUCAUUGCUGAUGGCAACAUCUUGACUUUGCUAAAUUCAUAGCUGAUAGAAACAUCCUUGACUUUGCUUCUUUGAAGAGAGUACACAAUCAACGCGCCACAACAUUCAAUUCCUAAUAAGAAUAAUAAGACAAAAGAUAUGUCCAUCAAAAGGUCUGGCUUAUCUCUUCUCUCAAUCUAUUGGCUUCUUGCCACUUAUCAAGUAUUAUUGCUUUCCUCCCACCUUUCUUUCUCUGGAUCAACUGCAUAUCAUCAAAAACAGAAAUAAGAAAAAGCUAUCCGGCAUAAGAUUGGAACUUACUCAUAGUCUAGUGAUAGUGAUUUCACCGUUAUGUGUUCUGUUGAAAGAUCCAUCCUAUCAAGGAGUAGGAACCAACAACCCAAACCAAUUAUAGUUAUGUUAUGGCGUGUCUGUAGGACCGGUCUGAAACAAUAGAGCGAUCGCUCCUGUUUGAUCCUGGCCCCCCUGUAAUGGAGAUUGAAUCGCACAUCCACACAUCUUUCAAACUCGAGUUAUUUGCUUGGCUUUCAUCGGCUAUUUUCUUGACAUCUUUAUUACCCCCAUUUCCAGAGGCUAAGCGGGUAAGGCAAGGAAACCCAUUAGUCCAGAAGUGGGAAAAAGGAGAAAGGUAAGGAAACCCAUUAGUCUAGAAGUAGUAAAAAGGAGAAAGGUAAGGAUUGCGAAGCCCUCUGACCCCGUUCACCCACAUAUCAUUUUCAAACAGGGAUCUAACUUCUUGUGGGCCUUUCUUAUUCUUGAGUUCCGUAGAGCUGAUUCCAAGCCAUAAACAUUUGGAAUUGCAAAAGUGUCGAAUGUGCUUGAAAAGAAAGGCCUUACGACCGUUCAGUUAGGCGCUCCUUGCAAGAUAGCAUUUCAUUGACCGAUACUUUCUUGCUUAUUUUCUGAACUUUGACUUGGAAUUGCCCCAUUUGUAGAUUCUCGAAUGUAGUUGGUGGCGAUAUUACAGAUAUGAAAGCCAUUGAUUCUCUGGAUUGGGAAGAACAAAAGUAUCAGAGGAUGGGAUGGAGCAAGAAGAUUACCAAGAGGAAGAUGACCAGGGACGGGACCCUGGGUCCGAGUGCUGAAGCGUUCCAUUCCAAUGCGAGACGAUCCAGGCCAUAUGCUCUAACCCUUCCUUAUGAUCCCAGUAUAGCCCGCCAUCGACCUCCCUCGCCCUUGUCCGGCUAGACUAAACUAGGCCUCAGCUCAGUGAUGGAGUCUAACCCUAAAGGCCCGUUGGGGUUUGGGUCCCGUGUGGGGUCUAUAGGCAAACCCUUAUCCUGAAAAACCAUUAAUGGCUUAUAGUACCAUACCAGUUCUUAGCCCCUUGACUAUGCCCAUUCCCACUCUUCGGCACAGAACGACAGAAAGAAAGCUGUGAAAGAAAUGCCUUAGCGCUCCCCUGUUACCACCACCCCCUUCUCCGCAAAAGCUGGGUCUAUCUUGAAUGUAUCCUCUGCCUCCAUGGGAAAAGGCUAAGUCCCGUUCUCUCUUUAGAAAGGUAAAAGAUACCCUGAUAAUAGUGCUAUAGAUAAUAGUGCUAUGGUUUAUAGUGCGUGCUAUACUAGAUAAUAGUGCAAUGGUUGAUGGUGCUCUAGAUGAUAAUGCUAUAGAUAAUAGUGCAAUGGUUGAUGGUGCUAUGGUUGAUGGCGAACAUCUCCUUGAAGACGUCAAACUAGAAUGGCAUGCCCCGACCCGACGUCACAAGGUCCCAGCAAAGCUCGACUUAGG
rnacentral:lncRNA from 1 species